GGGUCCAUAGCUCAGUGGUAGAGCAUUUGACUGCAGACCAAGAGGUCAUCGGUUCGAACCCGGUUGGGCCCU
rnacentral:tRNA from 1 species